rnacentral:rRNA from 1 species
UACGUAGGGCGCAAGCGUUGUCCGGAAUUAUUGGGCGUAAAGAGCUCGUAGGCGGUUUGUCGCGUCUGCUGUGAAAGCCCGGGGCUCAACCCCGGGUGUGCAGUGGGUACGGGCAGGCUGGAGUGCAGUAGGGGAGACUGGAAUUCCUGGUGUAGCGGUGAAAUGCGCAGAGAUAUGGAGGAACACCAGUGGCGAAGGCGGGUCUCUGGGCCGAUACUGACGCUGAGGAGCGAAAGCGUGGGGAGCGAACAGG